rnacentral:tRNA from 1 species
UCCCUCGUGGUUCAGUGGUUAAGAUUCUGCACUUCCAUUGCAGGGGGUGCAGGUUCAAUCCCUGUUUGGGGAA